GUCCUCUUGCUUAUAUAUGAGGUCUGACCUGCCCGGUGAAAAUUAACUUUAACGGCCGCAGUAUUUUGACUGUGCAAAGGUAGCAUAAUCAUUAGUCUUUUAAUAGGAGGCUGGUAUGAAGGGUUUGACGAGGUGUUGACUGUCUCAUUUAAUUUGUAUUUAGAAUUUAACUUUUCAGUCAAAAGGCUGAAAUUAUAUUGGAAGACGAGAAGACCCUAUAGAGCUUUAUAAUUGAAUUUUUAAUUAUUUUUUGUUUAUCAUUUUUUAUUAUUACUUUAAUUAUUUUGUUGGGGUGACAAAAAUAUAUAAUUAACUUUUUUAUUUAUUUAACAUUGAUUUAUGAAUAUUAGAUCCAUUAUUAUUGAUUGUUAGAUUAAGUUACC
rnacentral:rRNA from 1 species